UAUCAGAAACUUUACUACUUUUACUCAAGUAAUAUUCUAAAAGGUGACUUUAACUUCCACCAAAGUCCUUUUCUGUUGAGAUACUUGUACUUUGACCCAUGUAUUGCUUUCAAGUACUUUAUACAAGACUGCUUAUAU